GCCUUCGUGGUGUAGUAGUCAGCAUGCUUGACGCAUAACCGAGAAUUCCGUGGUUCAAUUCCUAUCGAAGGCA
rnacentral:tRNA from 1 species